UACGUAGGUGGCAAGCGUUGUCCGGAUUUAUUGGGUUUAAAGGGUGCGUAGGCGGCUUAUUAAGUCAGUGGUGAAAUACUCUAGCUCAACUAGAGGGGUGCCAUUGAUACUGAUGAGCUUGAGUACAGAUGAGGUAGGCGGAAUUGACGGUGUAGCGGUGAAAUGCUUAGAUAUCGUCAAGAACACCUAUAGCGAAGGCAGCUUACUAGGCUGUAACUGACGCUGAGGCGCGAAAGCCAGGGGAGCGAACGGG
rnacentral:rRNA from 1 species